rnacentral:rRNA from 1 species
ACCUACGGGGGGCAGCAGUGAGGAAUAUUGGUCAAUGGUCGGGAGACUGAACCAGCCAAGCCGCGUGAGGGAUGAAGGUACAGAGUAUCGUAAACCUCUUUUGUCAGGGAACAAAGGCGGGGACGUGUCCCCGGAUGAGUGUACCUGAAGAAAAAGCAUCGGCUAACUCCGUGCCAGCAGCCGCGGUAAUACGGAGGAUGCGAGCGUUAUCCGGAUUUAUUGGGUUUAAAGGGUGCGCAGGCGGUCUGGUAAGUCAGCGGUCAAAGCCCGGGGCUCAACCCCGGCCCGCCGUUGAAACUGGCAGG